AUGGCGGGCUUGUUCCUCGCUGCGGCAGCGACAGGCUUGUUCCUCUUGGCGGCAGCGGCGGGCUUGUCCCUUGCGGCGGUGGUGGCGGGGCAUCUGCGUGAGGGAAGGGAAGCAGCUGCAGCAACGGCCGCGUGGGCAAAGAGAAGCAGCUUCGGUAGCAGAGGGGCGCAAGGUCUGCUGCCGCAACAGAUGCCUAGGGUUCCACCUUCUCCGACCCCAACCAGCUCUGCCGCAGCCAGCGAGAUCUCGCUCUCAUCGUCAACACCAGCAAAGGCCAACCUGUGCUUGGUAAGGCAUAUGGUUACAUCAGAGGUCGGGGUCAUGGACCAAAACCAAAUAGAAGGGCCUACUCAAGCGCAUCAAGCUCAACUCAGCAUGUAG
rnacentral:rRNA from 1 species